AUGGAAGAGGAGUUAGAGUUGGUCCAUGACAACAAUGCAUGGGAGUCUGUGGAUCUUCCCAACGAUGAAAAGACUAUGGAGCUCAAGUGGGAAUUUAAGGUCAAGAAAGAUGUUGAAGGGUGCAUGAAGCACAAAGCGAGGUUCGUGGCCAAAGAGUAUGUGCAAGGAGAAAGUAUGGACUUCGAAGAAGUGUUCGUUCUUGUUGCAAAUAUGGAGUCGGUGAGAUUACUCAUCGCUCUCGCGGCACAGGAAUCAUGGAAAGUACAUCACAUGGAUGUAAAAUCCGCGUUUUUGAACGGCGAGAUAGAAGGAGAUGUGCAUGUGAAUCAACCAUCGGGUUUCAUCAAAGAGGGAGAAGAGCACAAGGUACUGAAGUCACACAAAAUCUUGUAUGGGCUAUGGCAAGGACCUCGGGAGUGGAACAUCAAACUUGACCGGACAUUGAUUUCUCUUGAACCCCACUGGAGCAUGCAAUGUACAAGAGAGGUGAAGGAAGGGGUCGUCUACUAG
rnacentral:rRNA from 1 species